ACCCUGACCGCUGACGAACAAGUCUGGCGACAACAGCGCCAAAUUCUCCCUCAACGUCGGACCUCCCCAGGCUCCGGUGACAUCGCUCCGGAGUUCUCCUCUGACCCUAAGAUCUACGCCAACGCUGACAACAGCCUCAUCACCCUGGAAUGUCAGGUGAAGAGCAAGCCAGACCCAACCUCGGCCUGGAACCAGGAAGAGAAGGAGGUCAAGGAAGAUAGCAGGAAGAAGUUCGUCGUCUCGUCCCUAGGCGACAACAAAUUCGCCAUCAAGCUCGAGAUCAAGAACCCCCAGGCAGCCGACGGAGGAAAGUACAAGUGCACGGCCAAGAACAAGUACGGAUCGUGCUACGCCUACCUGAGCUUGAAGUUCUAAGCGGUGUCGAGGGCGACAGACGCAUUUGCAGAGCCACCUAGGACACCGUCGCGUCGUCGUAGUCGCGCCGCCACAGCGACGCAUCCAUUCUUCAAUCAGCGCCCUCAUUCCGUAAACAAUCGGAGAGAUCCUGCCUGUAGGUGGCGCUGACGACCGCGUGCGAUGCGUCGAUAGAUGGCGCCGCGCGACUUAGACUGUCGCCUCGGUGUCACCGCGAGCGGUUUCUCGCAUCUGCUAGAUGCUCGAGCCUGAACGAUGUACAGUAUUUAUAUAUAUAUAUUUAUAUAUCAACAAACACCAUGCCGUCCAAAAAAUUCUCAGCGGAGACAGACCGCAACGACAUCGGGCCGCGCCUACAGGCCGCACGCGCGCGCAGAGGCAGCGCCACCUAUAUGUCAGACUCGCUCUCGCUUCGGUCGUAAACUUGUUUUGUGGCGUCUCAUCGUUGGGCAGGCGAGGCGCCUCAUGUAGUGCUGCAUCUAUCGUCAACCGUUCGUUACAUUUUCCUUCACACGUUCUGUUCAUUCAUAUGAUUAUACUCUUGCCGACUUUGAAACGCGGCUCUCUCUGCAGCUUUAUUGUUCGUAGCUGUCUAGGCGAGUGAUGCGAAGAGCAAGACGCAAAUGUUCACGAAAUAAAUUCUAAUACAACUGCC